rnacentral:rRNA from 1 species
UUUGGAGAGUUUGAUCCUGGCUCAGGACGAACGCUGGCGGCGUGCUUAACACAUGCAAGUCUAGGGGGCCCAGCAAUGGGUCACCGGCGAACGGGUGCGUAACACGUGAGCGACCUACCUUGAGAUGGGGGAUAGCCGGCCCAACGGCCGGGUAAUACCGCAUACGCUCUUCGGGCUUCAUGGCUUGGAGAGGAAAGCUUUAGCGUCUCUAGAGGGGCUCGCGGCCUAUCAGCUAGUUGGCGGGGUAACGGCCCACCAAGGCAAUGACGGGUAGCUGGUCUGAGAGGAUGGCCAGCCACAUUGGGACUGAGAAACGGCCCAGACUCCUACGGGAGGCAGCAGUGGGGAAUAUUGCGCAAUGGUCGAAAGACUGACGC